rnacentral:misc_RNA from 1 species
UUUCCGUAGGUGAACCUGCGGAAGGAUCAUUCACAAUAAGUGUUUUAUGGCACUUUUUAAACAAUCCAUAUCCACCCUGUGUGCAAUGUCAGGGUUGAUUUUUCUCUCGAGAGGAUCAGCCCCAAACAUCAACUAUAUCUCAACUCUUUGUCUGAAAAAUAUUAUGAAUAAAACAAUUCAAAAUACAACUUUCAACAACGGAUCUCUUGGCUCUC